CAAUAGCGUAUAUUAAAGUUGUUGCAGUUAAAAGCUCGUAGUUGGAUUUCUGUCAUUUGCAUCUAACACUUCUUAACUGAUGUUGUUUAGUUUGCUGUGAUAUUUGUUUGAUGCACUAAAUUCAUUUUAGUUGUAGAAACAUUUACUUUGAGUAAAUUAGAGUGUUUCAAGUAAGUUGUUGCUAUGAAUACUGCAGCAUGGAAUAAUAAGAUAAGAUUUUGGUUUUAUUUAUUGGUCAUAAAACUAAAGUAAUGAUUAAUAGGAACAGAUGGGGCAGUUCUGUAUUCAACAGUCAGAGGUGAAAUUCUUAGAUUUGUUGAAGACGAACUAAUGCGAAAGCAUUUGUCAAAAAUGUUUUCAUUAGUCAAGAACGAAAGUUAGGGGAUCGAAGACGAUCAGAUACC
rnacentral:rRNA from 1 species